GCCCGAGUUAACGGAAGUUAAAAUAAAACGGGUUAUAACUCUCGGGACCCACUAAGUAACUAGGAAUAUCAACCUAGUUAGUUAAGUGUUUUAAAAUAAUGAAGGAACUUGAUAUAGUAACCUUUUUAUAACUUUUAGAAACUAAAGGGACUAAAAGGGUUAAGUGAGAAAAUAAUUAUUAUUAAAACAAAAAUUAAAAACCCAAAACACACACUUGGUGUGUGUUCUGGUCGUAGAUUACACAGGGGGCGAACAAGGUUUCUUCAACCAAACCCUAACUAGCUAAAAAUCAAGCAAUUGGAAGGCCAAAUCAGUCCCAAAUCGAAAUCCAAGCUUAUUUUAGUGAUCACCUAAGCGAAGGGAUCACAAGUUUGACUCUGACAAGCUUGGUAGGAGCUUGGAAAUGAACGGGUCAAAUGGAUACAAGUUCAAGUAUGAAGCUCACAAGGAUGCAAGGAGUGAACCGGAAAUGGAUAAUUGCGUCGCUAUAAAGUAACGGCUAAUAAAAGCAAGGUGAAUGUAGCUACCAUCCGGGUGUCGAUCAAGUAAUGAAGUGAACCGAACACUAUGCAGUUACAAGCUUCCGCACAUAGUUUCGUCGUUAUUUUUAAACGACGAACU
rnacentral:lncRNA from 1 species